rnacentral:rRNA from 1 species
CUAACACAUGCAAGUCGAACGAGAAAGGGUAGCAAUACCUGAGUAAAGUGGCGCACGGGUGAGUAACACGUGACUAACCUACCUUUGAGUGGGGAUAACCUAGGGAAACCUGGGCUAAUACCGCAUAAUACCUAUGGGUCAAGGCGAGCAAUCGCGCUUAAAGAGGGGGUCGCGGCAGAUUAGUUAGUUGGUAGGGUAAUGGCCUACCAAGACGAUGAUCUGUAUCCGGCCUGAGAGGGCGCACGGACACACUGGAACUGAAACACGGUCCAGACUCCUACGGGAGGCAGCAGUGGGGAAUUUUGCGCAAUGGGGGAAACCCUGACGCAGCAACGCCGCGUGGAGGAUGAAAUAUCUUGGUAUGUAAACUCCUUUCGAUGGGGACGAUAAUGACGGUACCCAUAGAAGAAGCCCCGGCUAACUUCGUGC